rnacentral:rRNA from 1 species
ACGUAAUAGAUACCCCGGUAGUCCACGCCCUAAACGAUGUCUACUAGUUGUUGGUGGAGUAAAAUCCAUGAGUAAACGCAGCUAAACGCGUGAAGUAGACCGCCUGGGGAGUACGGUCGCAAGAUUAAAACUCAAAGGAAUUGACGGGGGCCCGGCACAAGCGGUGGAUUAUGUGGAUUAAUUCGAUGCAACGCGAAAAACCUUACCUGGCCUUGACAUGCCACUAACGAAGCAGAGAUGCAUUAGGUGCCCGUAAGGGAAAGUGGACACAGGUGCUGCAUGGCUGUCGUCAGCUCGUGUCGUGAGAUGUUGGGUUUAAGUCCCGCAACGAGCGCAACCCUUGCCAUUAAUUGCCAUCAUUUAGUUGGGCACUUUAAUGGGACUGCCGGUGACAAACCGGAGGAAGGUGGGGAUGACGUCAAGUCCUCAUGGCCCUUAUGGCCAGGGCUUCACACGUAAUACAAUGGUCGGUACAGAGA